rnacentral:rRNA from 1 species
AUUGAACGCUGGCGGCAUGCUUUACACAUGCAAGUCGAACGGUAACAGGGUGCUUGCACCGCUGACGAGUGGCGAACGGGUGAGUAAUGCGUCGGAACGUGCCGAGUAGUGGGGGAUAACGCAGCGAAAGUUGUGCUAAUACCGCAUACGUACUGAGGUAGAAAGUGGGGGACCUUAGGGCCUCACGCUAUUCGAGCGGCCGACGUCUGAUUAGCUAGUAGGGGAGGUAAAGGCUCACCUAGGCGACGAUCAGUAGCGGGUCUGAGAGGAUGAGCCGCCACACUGGGACUGAGACACGGCCCAGACUCCUACGGGAGGCAGCAGUGGGGAAUUUUGGACAAUGGGCGAAAGCCUGAUCCAGCCAUGCCGCGUGUCUGAAGAAGGCCUUCGGGUUGUAAAGCUCUGUUGCCAGGGAAGAACGCUUGGGAGAGUAACUGCUCCCAAGGUGACGGUACCUGAGAAGAAAGCCCCGGCUAACUACGUGCCAGCCGCCGCAGUAA